rnacentral:lncRNA from 1 species
GAGCAUGGAUGCAGCUGUAAACAUUUAAACGAUCUUUUCCAUUAAAAUAUGCAGUCCUGUAGAAGUUUGUGCACUCAAUCUAAUGGUGUAGCUGAAAUUUCUGGUCUUUGAUUCAAGUGUACACAAUUUACUUGGAGGAUCCUGCAACUAUGAACCCGAACUCAGGAGCGGUCUCAAAUACGGGUAUGUGCCCAAGAAUUAGGUAUAUUCAACUUUUUUUUAAUGUUUUUUUCUUUUUUUGAAAGAUCAUAUCUCACACGCUAAUCAUUCCAUAAUCUUUUCUCAGGAUAUCAUUCCAUACUCUCCCUUAUAUUAUCCAUUCUAGUAAAGCACCAAUUGCAGUGCACUUCAAAAAUGGUGUUAUGAGUUUAUAGGAUCACAUUUAAUAAGCUUGAACCUUGUAAUGAAAGAGACAAUAUAUCUUUUAUC